rnacentral:lncRNA from 1 species
GUAUGUUUAUUUCUCAGCUUUUAACCUUGCCAACUUGGGCAACCUCUUAAAUACUAAUGACUUUGUGGGCUCUGACAAUUGUACUUUCUUAAAGCAGCCCCCGUGGGCCCCUCCCAUCCACGAAAGACCAAGAGCGCGACUGUCUGUGCAGAUGGCCUCUGGACAGCGCAGCAGAUUCCCGGGAUAAUGAGUCAGGGAGGGUGAGGCUCCAGGCAGAGCCAAGGUGACUUGGAGCUGCAGACACCCAGGUAGAGCCCUGGCGCUCACCAGUAGAAGACGCUGCAGCUGCCUCCUGUCCCCUCAGGCCUAAUGAGAAGAGACAGGCCCACCUUGGCGCCUGCUGGGGGAGGUGUAGGGAGCUCCUUGGGGUCCAGCAGGCCCUUCUCUGCACAGGCUGACGGCCCCACUAGUUCCUCAGUGCUGGAAGAGAAAUUGGCUUCCUUUUAAGGGGACAGAGCUCUCUGUUGGGGUCAUAAGCUCCCCAUCUCCCAGGACCAACUCUGGUUUCCCUCCAAGACAGCUUAGGUGUAUGUGUGAGGGUUUUAAGAGGUGUGCAAAUUCAGGGUCUGUCUCCCCAGGAUGGAGGUUUGGGUACUAGAUACAGGUGAGAGGUCAUAAGAGCCACUCAACCCUCUCCCCGUGCCCCGUCCCCACGCCAGCACCUGAUUACAGUGUGGUGCAGAUUAGUG